rnacentral:rRNA from 1 species
AUUGAACGCUGGCGGCAGGCCUAACACAUGCAAGUCGAGCGGAUGACGGGAGCUUGCUCCUUGAUUCAGCGGCGGACGGGUGAGUAAUGCCUAGGAAUCUGCCUGGUAGUGGGGGACAACAUUUCGAAAGGAACGCUAAUACCGCGUACGUCCUACGGGAGAAAGCAGGGGACCUUCGGGCCUUGCGCUAUCAGAUGAGCCUAGGUCGGAUUAGCUAGUUGGUGGGGUAAUGGCUCACCAAGGCGACGAUCCGUAACUGGUCUGAGAGGAUGAUCAGUCACACUGGAACUGAGACACGGUCCAGACUCCUACGGGAGGCAGCAGUGGGGAAUAUUGGACAAUGGGCGAAAGCCUGAUCCAGCCAUGCCGCGUGUGUGAAGAAGGUCUUCGGAUUGUAAAGCACUUUAAGUCGGGAGGAAGGGCAGUAAGUUAAUACCUUGCUGUUUUGACGUUACCGACAGAAUAAGCACCGGCUAACUCUGUGCCAGCAGCCGCGGUAAUACAGAGGGUGCAAGCGUUAAUCGGAAUUACUGGGCGUAAAGCGCGCGUAGGUGGUUUGUUAAGUUGGAUGUGAAAGCCCCGGGCUCAACCUGGGAACUGCAUCCAAAACUGGCAAGCUAGAGUACGGUAGAGGGUGGUGGAAUUUCCUGUGUAGCGGUGAAAUGCGUAGAUAUAGGAAGGAACACCAGUGGCGAAGGCGACCACCUGGACUGAUACUGACACUGAGGUGCGAAAGCGUGGGGAGCAAACAGG